CAUGUCCUUUAGAUUAUAAUUUAAGGUCUGAUCUGCUCAAUGAAGUUUAAAUAGCCGCAGUAUUUUGACUGUGCAAAGGUAGCAUAAUAAUUAGUUUCUUGAUUAGGAACUGGAAUGAAAGAUUGGACAAGAAAAUAUCUGUCUCUUUUUUAAUAUUUUUGAAUUUUAUUUUUAAGUGAAAAAGCUUAAAUUUUUAUAGAAGACGAGAAGACCCUAUAGAGUUUUAUAUAUUUAUAUAAUUUAAUAUUAGAAUUAAUUUUUAAUUGAGUAUAUUUAGUUGGGGUGACUUGAAGAUUAGGCGAAUUCUUUAUUAUUAAAAUUGGUGAUUAUUAAUUUUUUUUAUCUAUAGUUUAUAAAAUAAAAACAAAUUACCUUAGGGAUAACAGCGUAAUUUUUCUUUAAAGUUCUUAUUAAAAGAAGAGUUUGCGACCUCGAUGUUGGAUUAAAAUUAAUUUUUGGUGCAAUAACUAAAAAAUUAGGUCUGUUCGACCUUUAAAAUUUUACAUGAUCUGAGUUUAGACCGGUGUAAACCAGGUUGGAUUCUAUCUUUAGAAAUAUAAUAUAUUUUAGUACGAAAGGACCAAGUAUAUAUUAAAAUAAUUG
rnacentral:rRNA from 1 species